UACAACAAUAUCCUUUCUGGACACUUUGAGGGGUCACCUCCUGCUGAACCCUCGAGACAGCCUCUUUGGGCCUCCUGCUUCAUGGGGUCCUAAGUGCUGUAUGAGCCAAGCCAAUGUGGGUACCAAGUCUUCCUUUCCCUGGUUCUUGGCAAUGAGCCUGCUUGCCACCCCUGCCCUCCACCCUCAGCAAGCUUGAGUGGGUGUCCUUUUCCCCUACGAGCCAACAGCUCAGAGAGCGGUUAAAAAUUAACAUGGGUCUAAUGCUUCUCUCUGGCCUCUGCCUGAACAGAUUAGGGGCAACAGAUAAAGCAGCCCCUCCCACCUCUUCCCCCAAGACAGGGGAUGGACCCCCCUAUGGAUGCUGGGGACCGGGGGCAGUUAACGAGACACAAGUGGCCUCCCUCCCACGCCUCCCUGAUCCAGACUGAGCAACGGGUUCUGCUGGCUUCCAAAUGCUGUGAUUCAUCACAUCUCCAAGGCUUUUCACACACAUCUGGAGAACAUCUGGAGAGGUCCUCAGAUCAAAAGCCAACUUGACAGGAGAGUCUUCUGCAAACUAACUGACAAGAGAUGCCGGCAGAGGCAGAUGAAGCAAUGCUUUUGAAGACCAGCCUCAGAAAGAACAGCGAGACAGAGUUUCUGGCCUGAGGCCCUCAGCAGCAAGGUGGCGUCCUCGCUGAGGGCAGGCCUGUUCCAGCUUGCAGGCUGCCUCAGCAGCCGGGAAGCUGGAGGUGGUGCCUCACAGGGGACAGGCGGGGGUCACGGUUGCUGAAGCAGGUUGCCUGCAGAGUGCACACCAUUCUGCACACCACCCACAUCCUGCCAGAGAAGCCAGGGACUUGGGGGGCAGAAUGAGACAUACGUUUUGGAGAGGACCACUGUGGAAGUUAGUUUUGCUUGACUGUGAUUAUUUGUCACAAGGGUUUUGUCCAGUGUGGGGUGGAGGAUGUUGGAGGGAGAGAAAUAAUAAAAUAAAUUCUUGUUAAUUAAAAAAAAACCCA
rnacentral:lncRNA from 1 species